UGGGGAAUAUUGGACAAUGGGCGCAAGCCUGAUCCAGCCAUGCCGCGUGAGUGACGAAGGCCUUAGGGUUGUAAAGCUCUUUUGGCGGGGACGAUAAUGACGGUACCCGCAGAAUAAGCCCCGGCUAACUUCGUGCCAGCAGCCGCGGUAAUACGAAGGGGGCUAGCGUUGUUCGGAAUUACUGGGCGUAAAGCGCACGUAGGCGGAUAUGCCAGUCAGGGGUGAAAUCCCGAGGCUCAACCUCGGAACUGCCUCCGAUACAGCAUGUCUCGAGUCCGGAAGAGGUGAGUGGAAUUCCUAGUGUAGAGGUGAAAUUCGUAGAUAUUAGGAAGAACACCAGUGGCGAAGGCGGCUCACUGGUCCGGUACUGACGCUGAGGUGCGAAAGCGUGGGGAGCAAACAGGAUUAGAUACCCAAGUAGUCCCUGAGCGGGCUGGCAAGGCGCAU
rnacentral:rRNA from 1 species